GAGAAAUUGUUGAAUGCUGUCUUCUCCUUCUCUUUCUCUCUUUCCCUCUCAGACAAAAUCUCACUAUGUAAUCAAGACUUACCCGAGUCUCAGGAUCGUCCUGUCUCAGCCGUCAGAGUGCUAGAACCCUUCAAGAAUGUUCCACCAGCACCAGCUGUGAGAGCUUCGUAAAGCAAAACCAAUUAAGACACUGUGGAGCUACGCUGCCUGAGGAAACGGUUAAGCUCCUUCACUGCUGUUUCCUCAUCUACAAAUUACCAGGACUGGUCCCGAGAAUUCUCCAGUUCUUCAAGCUCCACCGGUCUACAAGAUGGGCCUGCUGAGAUUGAUACUCGUCAUAAACCAGUAGGUUGUCAUGGAGGACCUAACCACCACUGUGAUCCUCCCAACUUCUUUUUGGUUCAUCAAGAGAUUCUCUAUCUGUCUUGGCUA
rnacentral:lncRNA from 1 species